rnacentral:rRNA from 1 species
UACGGAGGGAGCAAGCGUUACUCGGAAUUAUUGGGCGUAAAGGGCGCGUAGGCGAUCUGACAAGUCUGGUGUGAAAGCCCACAUGUUAACUGUGGAAGUGCAUUAGAAACUGUUGGAUUUGAGUUCAGGAGAGGAAGGCAGAAUUCCCGGUGUAGCGGUGAAAUGCGUAGAGAUGUGGGAGGAACACCGAUGGCGAAGGCAGCCUCCUGGGCCAGCACUGACGCUCAUGCACGAAAGGCGUGGGGGAGCAAACAGGG